rnacentral:misc_RNA from 1 species
UUCUGUGCUGGAGAGCAUAUGGUUCGGUGUUCCAAUUGCCACAUGGCCAAUAUAUGCUGAGCAACAAUUUAAUGCCUUUGAAAUGGUGAUUGAGUUGGGAUUAGCAGUGGAAAUUAAAAUGGAUUAUAGUAAGGAAAGUGGAAUGAUAGUGAAUUGUGAUGAAAUAGAGAGAGGAAUAAGGUGUUUGAUGGAGAAUGAUAGUGAGAAAAGGAAGAAGGUGAAGGAAAUGAGUGAGAAGAGUAGAAUGGCCUUAAUAGAAGGUGGAUCUUCAUACCAUUGGUUGGGUCGUCUCAUUGAAGAUGUGAUGGAUACUUUAGCAUAAAACAUAUAUGAUAUUCUCAAUUAGCGGUGUGUGCAUCAAUUUUGCACACAACUUUUUUAGGAGUAGGAGGGAAUCCAAUCCCAUAGUCAAAGACAGCUUACAAAAGGUUAGAGAUUUAUAAUAAAAUUUAUGUAUUCCGUACAUACAAGGAAUUUUAAAAGAUUUCCUGAACUGUUGAGUUCAUCUUUUUCAUAUUUUUUAAUUAAUAUUUAGAAGUUAUAAAUUUUUAUAACAUUCUAAAUUUUUAAAUAAUUAUUUUGUAUAGUCAUUCGAGUAUUAUCUGGUUUGGCGGGCCCAAGAAGAGCCGUAUAAUAUUGUUGUUAUUGUGAGCCGGAGGCCCUGUGUGUUGUAUUUUAUUGAAUUUUUAUACAUGGAGUUAGAUUUAGGUACAGGAAAAAUUCUGUCGAAAUUUCGAUAAGAUCUUAGGAUUUAUUCUUACUUUUGUAAAUUAAAUUAAAUUAAAUGGUUAAUUCUGUCAGUUAAUUGAUAGAGGUCAAUAUAUAUAUAUCGGUGAACGGUUCUAACCAGUCUUCUUCCAUCCAGUCGGAUUAGUUGUAGGCGGGUCAUCCUCUCUACGAGUAGAUAUUAAUUUUAUUUAUAAUUUCAAUAUUA